GAUCUUCGGACCUCGCGCUAUUGGAUGAGCCCGCGUCGGAUUAGCUUGUUGGUGAGGUAAAAGCUCACCAAGGCGACGAUCCGUAGCUGGUCUGAGGAGGACGAUCAGCCACACUGGGACUGAGACACGGCCCAGACUCCUACGGGAGGCAGCAGUGGGGAAUAUUGGACAAUGGGCGCAAGCCUGAUCCAGCAAUGCCGCGUGUGUGAAGAAGGCCCUAGGGUUGUAAAGCACUUUCAGUUGGGAAGAAACGCAGGGUGUUAAUACCACCCUGUAAUGACGUUACCGACAGAAGAAGCACCGGCUAACUCCGUG
rnacentral:rRNA from 1 species